GGGUCAGUAGGUUGGUCGUGCCACCGGUACGUACUGGUCUCACUGAUUCCUCCUUCCUGAAGAACCGUAAUGCCAUUAAUUUGGUGUUGCGGGGAAACAGGACUGUUACUUUGAAAAAAUUAGAGUGUUUAAAGUAAGCUAACGCUUGAAUACAUUAGCAUGGAAUAAUGAAAUAGGACGAUCGAUCCUAUUUCGUUGGCUUCUAGGAUUGACGUA
rnacentral:rRNA from 1 species